UAGGGGGCAAUCUGACAACAAUGUAGGUUUAACUCCCACUCCUGCAUUUUGUUAGGUAGCAGCUGACAGUUUCCUUUAAUUGAAUAACUACCGAUUUUCGGAUUCAGAUUAGUAUGGACUACUCUUUUUUGUAUGUUCAAAGCAGUGUAAGACAAGGAACUUACAAGUUGGUGUGCAAAAAAGAGCAAAAGAGUCCUCAAGUAAUGACAAGUUUCAAGACUUGUGUUGUGCUCAACCCAAUUUAUCUACUGUAAAAUGGCCAGAUACUACUUUAAAUGCCCGCACCAGUAUUUCUCUACUUCGAGCUUUGCGUAAAAUUAAUGAGCUAAAGUAUUUGGUUGUGACACAUUUUCUUUCUUUUUAUAGGUGAAUGGCCAUAAUGAAUUUGAAAAGGAUUCUUAUUUAGGCCAGCCAUCCCAGAUAUAAUAAACAUUGGAAGCAAAGGUGCUAGUUUUCAUGAUUUGUCAAUCAUGACCUUUCACUUUCCGGUAUUUCUUGUAAACAAUAUAAAGUGAAAAUUUAGGUUUCCUUCUUUUCUGUAGCCCUGUUUCUCCUUAAAUUUACCUUGGCUAGACCCUUGACUUGCAGAUGAGUGGAUGAUUGCCUAAUUACAAAUGACAGCUUGACUGCAACUUUUCUUUAAAGAUACCACUUUCACAUACAUAACACAGAUUUUUGAAUGAGCUUCAGGGUUGAUGUUGCAGAUGUUACAUUAACUGGUUGGAUUCUUAUUCAUUAACCUUUCAAAACCAAAUUCAUCUUCUUAAAAUUGACCUAGAAGGAUUUUGAUCAUUCUGGGAACAUAUUUAUCAAAGAUGCAAAGCUCUAAUGGGAAUAAUGUAUCUGUCAAUUACAUUUUCCUUUGCAGUCUGUAAGUCCUUUCAGAAGCUUCUGCCAGAAGAAUAUGCCAAACCAUGAAUUUAUGAAUCGUGUAAGUUACACGAGCAAGAAUUGCUUAACGAUUUUUUUUUUUCUUAUUAAAGAUUAAGAACAAUACAGCAUGUGAAUAGGUUCCUUGUUGGGGCAAAGUACCGAAUAAAGUAUAAUGGCUGGAUGCACGACAUGGAUUUUCCAUACUUAACCAGAUUCCCAUGUACAAAGGUAUUUCAUAUUUAAAAAAUUGGAGUGCAUAUCUGGGCUCCCUUCUUUUCUGUGGCCCCGUUUCCCCUUGACUCAUAAUAAGCCCGUAGGGGGUCAUGCCCCUACUGUACGGUAUAUAUAAAAAUAAAAUAUAUCGAGGUUUGGAGGGCUAUGUCGCUCGACAAAUCCGAAUUAAAGGUUAAUCGCUGCUGUAAAAAUUUUCCGUUUCUUCGGCUCUUCUUCUGGCUUUUCUUAGCCACGCACUGGGUAAUGUCCCCGGUGAGUCAAUUGAGGCAAUGUCUCCCCCUGCCUCGGUUGAAAGCAACUUUUGAAUGGGAUAUUAUUUUGCCCUUUAAAAGUUGCAAAUCAUUGAGCUGUGCGGAGAAUUGCCAAUAAAAAGUUUUUUUAAACAAAUUAUUAGCAAAACUUGUCUUUUUUUUAUCAUCUUGAUCUUUUCACGUUUUAUACAUUUCUAGUUUGCACUUGGCAAUUUUCACACUUGGCAGCCCUCUAACGUUUCUACACUACAAUUUAUCCUUAGAAGGACUUGCAGCGGCCAUUGUCUGUUAAGAUUCCACCGUUCGAAAUUGCAGCUGUAGUAACGAGAAAUAAAGCUGAUGUUUAAUCUAUCAAUGUUUAGAGUUUUUCAGUUUAUGGUGCAGAAUAAAUUCCAAAUUGUAUUACA